rnacentral:rRNA from 1 species
AUGGCGGCGAUACACGCGAGGCUGCCGAUCGCGGCAGAGGCUGCCGAGCGCGGUGCUGCCGGCGCCGCCGCUACCGCCGCCGCCGAAGCGGCAGCGUUUGAGGACGGGAAUCCAAACUACGGUGAUGGGCAAGAGAAAUUUGAUGCGGUCAUAGCUGAUCUUCUCCUGAUCCAAGAGUUGGAUAAGAAUCCCCGUGUCCCAAAAGAUGAGUUGUAUCGUUACAAUGUGCUCCCCGAGGAGCUCACUGCACUAGGGCCAAGGGUUAGAGAAUUGGGUGAUGACCUGUACGAAGCCCUUGGUCUCUCUUCCAUGGACAGGCGAAGCUUUGUCCAAAUGAAGCUCAAGCAUCAGGCCCACCAUCCAAUUGCCCGAACUUUACUGGAGAAAAUCAAUAAAAAUAUGGAGAAACUUGAGACGAUACCUUAG